AGAAAACAAAAGCAGGAGGAUCACGUUACUGGACUUCAAGCUGUCUUACAAAGCUAUGAUCAUCAAGACAGUAUGGUACUGGCACAAAAACAGACACUCA